rnacentral:lncRNA from 1 species
UUCGAGUCCCCUCAGGCCAUUGGAGGUUUACCUUAACUUUAGGGUCCUGUGGGAUUAGUUGAGGUGCGCGUAAGCUGGCCCGGACAUCUAUGGUUAUAAAAAAAAAAAAAAAAAUUGAGGAAAGAAAAUAAGAAGGGGCUUUAAAAACCAAAAAAAUGACAUGGAAGGGUAGUGUUGGAACUUGGGAAGGAUUUCUGUGCUCCAGCCCAGCCCACCAAGGCGGACUGAAAGUGCAGAAACUUGAUGAUGGGAAAGAAAAUCACUAAGACUGGCCCCAGGAUCAGCAAGCAAAUUAGCAAUGCCACCCACCAAAAAACACCACCACCAAGUACCAACCUCUUCCUCCCCUCACCCAACCUAACCAAACAUAAAGAAUAAUUAGUUCCAAAGAAACUAUGCUUUCAUAUGCUCAAUUCAAAAAAGAUUAAAAAAUAAAUAAAAUUGCAAAACAGGAACCAUCUUUUCAUGGUUUAAAUCAUAUCAUAUCAUCUUAAAAUAUUGUUAUUUUAUAUACUAUUAAGGUAAAUAGUAAUAUCGAGUUUGACCAAGUUACUAAUUUUGACCUAAAUUGGUACCAUAAUUAAUCGGACUAUUAAGACUAUUGUAUUCAAGUGGUGUGGAUUAGAGGGACGACCUUGGUGUUUAUAGGUGGUGUAGAGUAGAGGGAUGACCCUAGCACCCAAGGUUCAAACAAUCCAUAACUAAACGUUUUGACUUUAAAUAUUUUGUAAUUUUUUGAACACAUGGAUGUGUUCAAGUUUGGUCAAGAUUUAUAUGGUUUUGAAACUACUCAUUUCUUGUUUGAAGGGUGAGAAAAGUUAGGAAAAACCCAGCAUCUUAUUUUCCUUCUAUUCUUCUUCUCUUCCACUUCUGGCUCCUUUGUUGCUUUUCCCUUUCACUUUCCAGGAAACAAUCAGAACCUAGAAAAAGGAAAAGAACAGACAUAAAAGAUAAAAGAUUCGCCAAAAAUCUAAAUGGGUAAUCAUCAAGCAAGCAUCCUAAUUCUUAUGAAUGGAGCUAUUCAACCAUUAGGCAAGCAUAUUGACUGAUAAGAAGAUCACUAUGUAUUGGACCAUGACAGAGAGGGAGAAGAUGUGGAGCAUGCCUCCACCCAAGAACAUGAUUACAAUUUACAAGUAACUUUUGUUCGUAAGAAAUGUGAAAUCGAAUCAGGACAAUCCCCUCUAGAUAAUCGACCCUCAUUCACAAUGCUUCCUAUCCUGCAAAGAAUGUCUCUGGGUUGAGGGUAUUUUUGGAUGAGCAUAAGCAACUGUUUUCAGAUACCUUAUUCGCCGCCUGUGAAUAAGGUAUCCCAAACUAUUUACAAAGUAAAAGCUACUGCUGCUGAAUUAGCAUCAUUAUCAUAAUCUCAAUCAAAGUUUUAACUACCAAAAACCAUGUCAUGCAGCUCCUACAAUUCACCAAAAACAAAAUUAUAAGAAAUUUUCUUCUUAAUUCUCUCUAAUGUCAAAGGGAUUUGGACAAUUACCAUUAAACAAAACCUGAUUUAUGUUAUUCCAAAAGCUCUGACUAAUAUUCCAACCAAGCAGUAGAGUCACCUUCAAAAAGCGAGGCAGUUGCAGAGAUAUAUUUCAUUUGAUUUUGUACUUGAAUUUAAACAUCUUCUUCUAAGUCAACCACAAGAAACACAGUCCUCAAGAAUACUCACUCUUUGUCCAAUAAAAGAUUUUUGUGUUGUAUUCUCAUCAAUGAGAAACAAGGUAAAAAUUUUAUCUUUCGAAAUCACUAUGGUUAUGUUUGGUUCCCAAGAAAUACCAAGGAAAGGAAAAAAAAAUGUUAAGGAAAAUCAUUUUCUCAUAUUUGCUUUUAAUAUGAACCAUUAAAUAGAAAGUUAAAAUAAAUAAAAUAAGUUUUAAAGUAGUAUAAAAAAAUAAUUUAUGAACUUUUAAAUUUAUUUUUUAUUUUCUUUAUCUUUCAUUUUACUUUUCCUCUCUACUUUCUCUCUCAUAUUUCCACAAAUUUUCCCAGAACCAAACAUAACCCAUAAGUUUCCAAAUCUAGUUCAUUAAUUUCAGUCUGAAGUGCAUAACCCUAUUACCUAUAUUAGCCCAAACAACUAAUUUAAGUUAAAAUUUAUCAUUAGCAUCAGUCCAAAAUAUCCUGAGUCUUAGUAAGCAUAUUAACUGCUUUAUACUUAUUACAAAAGCAAGGUUUCAAUACUAAGUAUUGUUGUUGUUGAGGAUUGCAUUAUUUUAGGGAGCGGAGCUAAAUUUGGGAUUGUCAUUUGCAAUUCAAAUUUAAUUUCUAUUCUAGAUUAGGUUGACAAUUGUAUAGUUUCCUAUUUGAAUCAGUCUGGUGUAAGUGACAAGCCACUUCCAAGUCAAACAUUGAGCAGCCACCACACACAUAAGUUACUGCCCCUGACAAUCCUUCCCUUCAUAUUACAUCUGACAAACUAAAAGACAAAACUACUUGUUGUGCUCUCAAUCUGUAAAAAUGUUUAUCUGAGGCAAGGGAAAAUUUGGUUAUCUCACUGGAGCAAUACAACCACCAGAAAAAGAAGAUGAGACAACAUUUCAAACAUGGGAGGCAAAAAACUCAAUGGUGAUGGCUUGGCUUGUUAACUUAAUGGAUCUAGAAAUUGGACAGACAUAUUUGUUCUCAUCAACAACAAAAGAAAUAUGGGAUCAAUCAAUCAGAUUUAGGCAGUUCAACUCAAGUAUAUAAGAUUAAGGCUCGAAUUCAUGACAUGAAGUAGGGAGCUCAAAGUGGUACAGAAUACUACGGUAUUCUUAAGGGUCUUUGGUAGGGCUGCAACUUUGGAUGAGUUGGUUCAGUUGAUGGCUAACUCGAGCUUAACCUGAAUUAAAAAAUAAUAAAGCAGAGCCCAAACCUAAGGUAUUCAACCUAACCUCAUUUCUCUAAGCUCGGGUUGAGUUUGGAUCAGUUAGGUUGAUUAAGUUACAUAAUUCAAAAUUGAUCUAUAAUAUAUUUUUAAUAACUUUUUUCUACAUAUUUAUAUGAAAAUUUAAAUAGUAAAUAAGACAAAAUUUCAGGAUAGCAACAAAAUAUUAAAAAUAAAUUUAUCUAUCUUUCUAAAAUAGGAAAUUAUAAAUGCAUCCAUCCUUUUAAUGAAAAUUUUUAGAACAUAAAUGCUUCUUGUUGAAAUCCUUAAAAUACCUUUCAACACAAAAAUGCAUUCAUUUCCCUCUCCUUUUUCAUUCUCUUCUAAUCUCUCCAUAACCCUAGUAAAAUUUAGCAAGAGAGUUGUGUUUCUCACCAAUGGAUAAACAAAUAAUCAUAUCCAAUGAUGUUAAAAGUGCACAUGUAUGGUUUUUAUACAUUUUUUUUUGCAUUUUUUAUCAUAUUUUUUGGGUUAGAAGGAGGUCUCACGGUUAUUGUUUAGAGUCCCAAGGUUAAACAUUUUGUAGUUGUUCGAUCCUAUACCUCCGGACACUCUUAAGGGUGUCUGACCCUAUAUUUCCGAACACUCUUAACUGUGCUCGACUCUAUAUUUCCGGACACUCUUAAGGGUGUCUGACCCUAUACCUCUGGACAUAGCUAAGAUGUUUGGCCUUCCAGGAUCGGACACUACGGGUUCCAAAUUUUCUCUCCAUUUACAUUACAACUUUUCAUGUUUUCUCACUUCUAAAUCAUAUCUACAUUCUUCCUAAUUGCUUUCCUACAAUUUUUACAAGUUUUUUGUCAAAAAUUAUAUAUGAAUAAACUCAAAAAUAUUUCCAUGUUUUGUGUUAUUUGUAGAUAAGGUUUGUGGUUGGGAAGAAAUAGAUUGAGGGAAAAAAGAAGAAGAUGGGUUUAUGGAUAUUUUUAAAUCAUAGGAUGACUGUAUUAAUAGGUUUUUAAUUUUUUUGGUGGAUGUGUAAAUAGGAUGGAUGCAAAGCGAGUUUUGGUGGAUGCAUUUAUAAUUUUUCUUCUAAAAUAAUUAAAAAGUAUAUAAUAUAAUAUAAUAUAAUAUAAUAUUUUUUUCCUUAAAAAUUUAAAAAGAAAAUGAAUAUUAUUACCUAGGAUAAUAUACAUUGCCAUUAAGGCCUGGCUCCAGUGAUAAAGGGAUGGGGAGGGUUUGUGGGAGGUUCUAGGUUUAAGUCUCAAUGGGGACGAAAUUUUACCUAUAUAUAUAUAAAAGGAUAAUAUACAUUAUAAAUAUUACAAAAACAUUUAAUCAGGUUUAGGCCAGGCUCGGGUUGCCUGAACCUUGGCUUGACCCCAAUCUAAAUUGAACUCGAGUUGAAAAAACCUAACCAAAGCUUAACCCAAGUAGUGAAAAUUAUUGUGAAAACUUGCCCAUAAUAUUGGGUUGGGUUGGGCUAACCUGCCCAAGUUGUACCCUUAGUAAUUGGCAAAAGUUAGAUCAGUAUUAUGAAACUUAACAGGGGAAUGUAGGAGAUGCUGCCCAGUUCAAGAGGUUGCUGGAAAAAGAAUGUGUUCUUGAAUUUUUAGCAAGAUUAAACGCGGAACUUGAUGAAGCAAGGGGGAGAGUCCUUGGAAGAGAACCUCUCCCAUUUGUUCGAGAGGUUUUUGCAUGCAUUAGAAGAGAGGAAAGCAGGGGGAAUUUAUGAUGAAUAGCCAAAAAACUGGCCAAAAUUCAGAGGACGUAGCCUUAUUGACAGAAACACUUGAAACUGAUCUUGUUGCUGGUCAGAAAAGCUCUAUGAAAGAAGAAGAAAAGACCAAAGUCUAGUGUAAUUAUUGUAAUAAUCCCAGACAUACCAAGGAAAUAUGCUGGAAAAUUCAUGGGAAGCCUGCUAAACUGAAAAACAACUGAUUUCUAGAGAGAAACAAUUGUGCUUGUUAGGCUGAAAACACACAAUCAAGCAACCUUGGAGGAGCUGAGAUGCCCUCCACAAAGGAACAAUUAGAGCUUCUACACAAGUUUAUUAACCAAUCAAAAAAAUAUCCAAUUGCUUCCUUGCCCAAAAAGGUAAUUUCUUUAUUGCUUCAAGUGUUUCUUCUGAUGUAAAAGCUCCUUAGAUCAUGGAUUUAAGAGCAACAUAUUAUAUGACUGGUUGUUCAAAAUUAUUUUCAUCAUAUACUCCCAUGUUUUGGUAGCCAAAAGGUAAGAAUAGCUGAUGGAUCUUUGUCCUAAAUCGCAGGAAAGGGAUUUAUUCCUAUUUCUAAAGCGCUUGUGCUAAAUUCAAUUUUUACAUGUGCCUAUCCUUUCUAGUGAUCUGUUUUCCUUCAGUAAGUUUACUAAAUACAAUAACUGUAUAAUAUUCUUUCCUACUCAUUGUGAUUUCUAGGACCUGGCUUCAGGGAUGAAGAUUGGUAAUGCUAAAAAAGUUGAUGGACUGUACUACUUUACUGAUAAUGUUGUUCUAGAGAGACAAGUCCAAGUAGUAAAUAAGUCUUCUCAAAUUAUUGAGAAUGAAAUAAUGUUAUGACAUUAUAGAUUAGGGCACCUUAGUUUUUAUUAUUUGCAAAGACUCUUUCCUUAUUUGUUUAAAGACAAAAGUCCAUCUUUAUUUCAACGUGAGGUUUGUGAAUUUGCCAAGCACCAUAGGUCUCAUUUUCCUGUAAAGCCUUAUAAAAAAUUGAUACCUUUUGUUCUUAUUCAUAGUGAUGUGUGGGGACCUCACAUGUUACUAACAUUUCUGGAACAAAAUGGUUUGUCACUUUUAUUGAUGAUUAUAGUCGUUUAUGUCGGGUGUAUUUACUAAAGGAAAAAUCUGAGGUGGAAAUUUUUUUAAAGACUUUGGUGCUAUGGUUCAAAACCAUUUUCAAGCAAAAAUUAGGGUGCUUAAGAUAGACAAAUAUUUUAGGAGAAUAUCUUUUACAAAAUGGAAUUAUUCACCAAUCAACAUGUUUCGACACACUAGAGCAAAAUGGAAUUGCUGAAAGGAAAAAUAGACAUUUAUUAGAAGUUGCAUGUGCAAUUGUGUUUACCAUUAAGGUUCCAAAACAUUUUUAGGGAGAAACAGUUCUUACAACCUCAUACAAGGAUCUUACAAUUUCAAAUUCCAUUGGAUGCUUUUUUGCAAUUCUAUCCACACUAAAUUGUUCACAUCAUUACUUCUAAAGGUGUUUGGAUGCAUUGCAUUUGUUCAUGUGCACAACCAUCUUAGAAGUAAAUUAGAUCCUUAUGCAAUUAAAUGUGUGUUUUUAGGAGGCACUCCAACAAAAAAGGGUAUAAAUGUAAUGAUCUUGUUUGAAAAAAAUGUUUGUCACUUUUGACAUUACUUUUUUUGAAAAAACAAGCUUUCACACUUCCCUUUAGGGGGAAAAUGUAAAUAAAGACAACUAGUUGAGCUUUGUGUCUACUCCAAGCCAAAAAGUCAGAAAGAGAUCACUCAGAAUUGCUCAAAGCAAGGCUAUGACUCAAACCUUGAAGCUAAGGAAAUGAAAAUUACAAAAAACCAUGAGCCUCCUCAUCUUAAUUUUUCAUCUUCUAUGAAGGAUAUAAAUGAUCUCAAAGUGCCAAUAGCUCUUAGGAACUAGGUCAUGUACUCUUCACCCCAUAUCAAAUUUUGUGACUUUUCAUAGACUCACCAUCUUUCAAAGCCUUUAAUGAAUCAAGCAUAGAUAUUCCUAAAACCGUGUAGGAAGCUUUAGAAGUUUUGGAGUGGGGGGAUGUAGUGCUUCAGGAGAUGAAAGCUCUUGAAAAGCAUGGUACUUGGCAAAUCAUGGAGCUACCUAGAGGAAAUACCCCAAUAGGAUGUAAGUGGAUUUUCGUUUAAGUGUAAAGCUAAUGGAACUAUUGAAAGGUACAAGGCGAAACUGGUGGCAAAAGGCUACAUACAACCCUAUGACAUUGAUUACCAAGAGACAUUUGCACCGGUGGCUAAGAUUAAUACGGUUAGAGACCUACCCUCUCUUAUAGCUAAUCUUGAUUGGUCUCUUCAUCACCUAGAUAUCAAAAAUGCAUUUCUUAACAGAGAACUUGAGGAGGAAGUUUACAUGCAACUGCCCCCAAGUUUUGAGAACUCUUAUGGAAAAGGGAAUGUGUGUAAAUUAAAAAGAUCUCUCUAUAACCUAAAACAAUGACCAAGAGCAUGGUUUGACAGUUUUUCGAAGUCUAUUAAGGUCUUUAGCUUCUCUCAAAGUUAGGCAAAUCACACCCUAUUUCUCAUGCAUUCUAUGGAUGGCAAGAUUACUAUUCUUAUUGUGUGCGUAGAUGAUAUUAUCCUCAUCAAGAAUGAUGAAGCUGAGAUUGGACAACUUAAAACAUUGCUAUCAAAGGAAUUUGAGAUAAAGGGCAUGGGUCCUUUACGGUAUUUUCUUGAAAUAGAGAUAGCUUGAUCAAGUAGAGGAAUUUUAGUUUCACAAAGAAAAUAUACACUUGACUUGUUACAAAAGAUAAGAAUGCUUGGCUGCAAACUAGGAGAUAUUCCAAUGGAGCCAAAUCACAAACUUAGAUUGCUCAGGAACAGCAAAGUAGAUAGGGAACGUUAUCAACUACUAGUAGGUAUACUUAUCUACCUAUCACACAGAAGGCCUGAUACAGCAUUUGCAGUGAGUGUAUUGUGUCAAUUUAUACACCCACCCCAUGAAGUACACAUGGAAGCUAUAUGCAAAAUACUGAAGCAUUUAAAAAGAACACUUGGGAAAUCUCUACUUUUAAAAAAGAGUGAACAUUUAAAAGUUGAGGCAUACACUGACUCUGAUUAGGCAAGAGCUAUUAAUGAUAGAAGGUCAGCCUCAGGUUUUUGUACCAUGGUAAACAGAAAUCUAGUCACAUGGAGAAGUAAGAAGCAAUCGAUUGUGACAAGAAGUAGUGCAGGAGUAGAAUAUAGGGUUGUUGCUCAAGGAAUACGUGAGCUGCUUCUAUGAAGCUUUACUGUGACAAUAAAGCUGCCACAAACAUAGCCAACAAUCCAAUGCAACAUGAUCGAAUCAAAUAUGUGGAGAUUGGUCAACAUUUCAUCAAAGAAAAAUUAGAGUGGUCUUAUUUGUAUGCCAUUUAUUCCAUCGAAUGAACAACUAGCUGAUUUACUUACUAAAGGGUUGCUGAAACCUACAUUUGAUUACUUGACUAGCAAGCUAGGCAUGAUUAAUAUCUAUGAGCUAGCUUGAGAGGAAGAAUUGCAUUAUUUUAGGAGAUUUGAUUCAAUCAAUUUUGUUAUUUAGGGAGCUAAAUUUGGGAUUGUGAUUUGCAAUUCAAAUUUAAUUCCUACUCGAGAUUAGGUUGACAGUAGUGUAGUUUUCUAUUUGAAUAUGUUGAGUAUAGGCUAUAAAUAUCAAAUUGUACUCUUCCAAUAAUAUAGAAAACAUACAGAUUCAAUCCAUAUCUAUUUACAGUUGUCAAUGAAGUUUUUUAGACUUUUGCAUCCUUUCUAAUACUUCCUUAUUCUCUUUAGAAAUAAUGCAUAAUAAGGCUGAUAACUCAUCCAAUUGCCAUUUCAAAAAAGAAAAAAAAAAUUGCCUAAUUUCAUUUAAUCCUUUCUCCAAUAAAUACCCAACAAAAAGACAAACUUCACUUUCAACGAGUGCAUAUUUUCUUCAAUUGUCUUUUUAGUCACUAUCCUGAAUCAUGUUUUACGUUGGUCCAAAUGCCUUUUUAAACUGCAGAAGUAAAAAAAAAGUUACAAUUUCUUAGAAUUCAACUCUCAUGAUUUUAACCCUAAACACUUUAGGUCCUCAGCCUUCCUCAUUACCAAGAAACCCACCAUUUUCUACUAACAAGCUUCAUUCCAGGCCACAAGAAUAAGAGGUUAAUUAGUAAAAAUAUAUUCUAUAUUAUUAAUUUUCCCCAAAGAAAAUUCAGGUUUGUUCUAUCAUGAGAUUUAUUAUUCCUUUUGAACACUAGAUUUCUAAGAUGGACUAGAUACCAAACAAUAACUUGCAAGGGUAUCCUUAACAGUGCUAUAAGGUUCAUUUGAUAACCUAGCUAAAAUAAAGUAACCUAGCUAAAAUAAAUUAAUUGUAGACAGACCUAUUGUGGAUUACGAUUUUCCCUUAUAGACAAAGUGAGCUUGGUUAAGGAGAAAUGCCUUUAAAAUGCAAAAAAUUCAUAGAAAUAAAAUGGAUCGCCUAACCUUCAAAAUAAGCUUAAAAUUUGGUAGAACCCUGAAAAAUGUCACUCCACGCCACUCCUGGAUAACUGCAGGAGAAGAUUAGC